UAGGGAAUAUUGGACAAUGGGGGCAACCCUGAUCCAGCCAUGCCGCGUGAGUGAAGAAGGCCCUCGGGUUGUAAAGCUCUUUUGUCCGGAAAGAAAAGCUUCGGGUUAAUACCCCGGGGUUCUGACGGUACCGGAAGAAUAAGCACCGGCUAACUUCGUGCCAGCAGCCGCGGUAAUACGAAGGGUGCAAGCGUUACUCGGAAUUACUGGGCGUAAAGCGUGCGUAGGUGGUUGUUUAAGUCUGAUAUGAAAGCCCUGGGCUCAACCUGGGAAUGGCAUUGGAAACUGGGCAGCUAGAGUGCGGUAGAGGGUAGUGGAAUUCCCGGUGUAGCAGUGAAAUGCGUAGAGAUCGGGAGGAACAUCUGUGGCGAAGGCGACUGCCUGGACCAGCACUGACACUGAGGCACGAAAGCGUGGGGAGCAAACA
rnacentral:rRNA from 1 species